CUACUGAGAUCUGCACGCAUCAUCCAAAAAUACAUCACACAGUCCUAGACACUUGGGAAGUGUUCGACUUGUGGUUUUGUGAAACGAAAUCCAGCAUAUCUAUCUUGUUUGCUGUGUCGUACAAAGUUGUUGUGUCAAUAAUAAUAAUAAUAACAACAACAACAACAACAACAACAGUCCUAGACACUCGGGAAGUGUUCGACUUGUGAUUUUGUGAAACGAAACCCAGCAUAUCUAUCUUGUUUGCUGUGUCAUACAAUGUCAUUGUGUCAAUAAUAAUAAUAAUAACUAUCUUGUUUGCUGUGUCAUAAUAAUAAUAACAAUAAUAAUAAUUAUUAUUAUAAGCCUGCCUUUUGAAGAUGCCUAAAAUGCCACUCCAAAACAGGACAGACUUUUGCAGGAAUUCCAGAAACUUCGCAUCCAACUUUCUGAACCGGGAAAAUGCAAUAUCAGUGUAACUUUGGGGGGUCAAGAGAGGCGAACUACGCAUCCCGGGAUGCUUCGGAGCGGAGGAAGACAGGUCGGAGGUCGCAAUCUGCCGGGCAAAUCUUUUAAGCUGGCAGAUGUUUGGGAAGGGAGAUUAGGAGAUUAAGGUUGUACAUGGACAGACCGCCUGCGAGAUGCCCGUGAAAAGACAAGAUACGGCGGCCGCUUUACGCCUGAUGGAAGAAUCGCUCUUGCUGGACCAGAACUUCCGGCACAAAGCGGAGAAACUCCUCGGGAUCUUCCAGAGCGAACUCUUCCAGGCCUUGCUGGACAUCCAAGAGUUUUAUGAAGUCACGGUUUCGGAGGCCCGCCCCCCAACUUCGCGGAGGUCUCGCUGUAAGG